UAACUCCGGUUGAUCCUGCCGGACCCCACUGCUAUCGGGAUAGGACUAAGACAUGCUAGUCGUGUGACUCAGGCAAAACGAGUCACGGCACACAGCUCAGUAACACGUGGCUAAUCUGCCCUUAGGACAAGAACAACCCCGGGAAACUGGGGCUAACUCUUGAUAGGCAAAGAACUCUGGAAUGAGUCUUUACCUAAAUAGAUUCACGUUAUCCUCGUGAAUCUGCCUAAGGAUGAGGCCGCGACCGAUCAGGUUGUUGGUGAGGUAAUGGCUCACCAAGCCUUUUACCGGUGCGGGCCGUGGGAGCGGGAGCCCGGAGAUGGGUACUGAGACAAGGACCCAGGCCCUACGGGGCGCAGCAGUCGCGAAACCUUUGCAAUAAGCGAAAGCUUGACAGGGCUAUCCCGAGUGCCAUCCGCUGAGGAAGGCUUUUACCCAGUCUAGAAAGCUGGGGGAAUAAGGAGAGGGCAAGUCUGGUGUCAGCCGCCGCGGUAAUACCAGCUCUUCGAGUGGUGUGGAUGUUUAUUGGGCCUAAAGCAUCCGUAGCUGGCUAGGUCAGUCCCUUGUUAAAUCCACCGAAUUAAUCGUUGGAUCGCGGGGGAUACUGCUUGGCUAGGGGACGAGAGAGGCAGACGGUAUUUUCGGGGUAGGGGUGAAAUCCUAUAAUCCCGGGAAGACCACCAGUGGCGAAGGCUGUCUGCUAGAACGCGCCCGACGGUGA
rnacentral:rRNA from 1 species